UUCUCCUAAAGUAAAGACAGAGUCAGCAGAUUGUUCCUUCAAAAUAAAAGACAGACUUCUCCUAAAGUAAAGACAGAGUCAGCAGCUUGUUCCUUCAAAAUAAAAUACAGACUUCUCCUAAAUUGAAGCUGCUCCAUUGUCUCUUCUGGGCCUCCAUACAUGUGUGGUGGUGACUGUGUCUGCAGAGACUCUGUCCUCUGACUGGAUUUUACUGUUCUGCUUUGUUCUGGUUGACUCGGGACGUUUCUGGGCGGAGCUGGUGUGUUUCCUCCAGCCAAUGACAGCGCAGCAGGUGAAAACACCAAGUGGAUAAAGCUCGUUCUAAAACGAGGGUGAACCUUGUGUUGUCUUUUACCCGUGGACGUGGAGUUGGUCUACUUCCUGUUGGACAGGCAGGUGACAAACACCAGCAGUUAGCUUGUGCUAGCGUGCGUUAGCUUGCAGUGUAGCUACAAGCAGUAAACGUACACACUACAUCCUGCAGUGAGCCCAGGAGGAGGAGGGGCUUAGUUUGAAUGUUUACAAACAUUUCUACUGACUCCGCCAUUAACUCCAAGAUGCUCACACUGCUUUCUUGGUGGCGUAUGAAUGGAUGAGUUAAUACUGAUGGACUCUUUACUCAGCAGCCUCUACCAUCGGUGUGUGAAUGUGUAUGAAUGGAUGAGUUAAUACUGAUGGACUCUUUACACAGCAGCCUCUACCAUCAGUGUGUGAAUGUGUACGAAUGGAUGAGUUAAUACUGAUGGACUCUUUACACAGCAGCCUCUACCAUCAGUGUGUGAAUGUGUAUGAAUGGAUGAGUUAAUACUGAUGGACUCUU